UUGCCACUACAGGGACAUAUUGUUGUUGC
rnacentral:piRNA from 1 species